rnacentral:rRNA from 1 species
UACGUAGGGGGGCAAGCGUUGUCCGGAAUUAUUGGCGUAAAGCGCGCGCAGGCGGUCAUUUAAGUCUGGUGUUUAAUCCUGGGGCUCAACCCCAGUUCGCAUCGGAAACUGGAUGACUUGAGUGUAAGAGAGGAAAGUGGAAUUCCACGUGUAGCGGUGAAAUGCGUAGAGAUGUGGAGGAACACCAGUGGCGAAGGCGACUUUCUGGCUUAUAACUGACGCUG